GGCCUCUCAGGCCCACACUGCCCAGCCUCCCAGAAGCCAGGUGAAUACAGCACAGCAGCUGGUGUGUGGAAACGGCAGUUCCCACUGGCAUCUGCUUUGCUCCUCCACGCGGCCCCACCUGGACAUCCUUACUGGGCUGUGUUCCAGUCUCCAGGAAACCAGGUAUUGAGGGAAUGGGCCAGCUGUGUGCAAUGAGGAGACCCCCUCUCACCCUGGCCGGCUGCACACACGCCUACGAGGACGGCGCGGAACCCCUCAUUUGCACCCGCACAACUGCUGCGUAGGCUCCGUGGCCCGAACAGAGAAAGAGGCGGGUUGUGCUGCCAUCUGGCGUCCACACGAGAUAUCUCCUAGAAUAUCACAUGCAUGCUUUAAAGCUUCAAGAACCUCCGAAAUUUCCUCUUUUCUAUCACUAAAGGUUUUUAAGUCUAGUAAAUUAAACUUCAGGAAAUAAAAUGAACGCUAAUAAGCUGGCACUUUGUCCACAGAAAUGGCUGGAGGCUUUUUUGGUUCCAACAUACUUGCUUUAUUUCCUGACUUGUCAUGCAAUUUGGCCAGGUUUAGGAGCAGAUGGGGUUUAAACUGAGGAUGAAAGAGGAAGGACAUGAUGCUCUCACAUAAAACAAGAGCAUUUACUUGUCAUUCCACUGUUACAUAUUGAUUGUUUUAGAUUUUUAAUUUACCUUUUAGUGUUUGAGUCAAUUAAAAACACGGGAGGAUGUCAUUUAAUAUAGCUCAUGAG
ensembl:lncRNA